GUGGGAAGAAAAGAAAAGAGAGAGAGAAAAUAAGCAAGAUGCUCCGAGGUGCCCUGACUUUCCGGUCGCAUCUCCAAGGCUGGUGGACUUGGCUGGGAGGGGAAAAAAUCUUCCACGGUUGCACACUCCUUGAAAUCGCGGCUGUUGCUCCCACAAACCGUAGAGGCCGCCUGGACAGGCAGGAAGAUCCGAGGGCGCGGACGAUCUCGACUGUGCCUGAGCCGAAGUCAGAAGGAGAGAUUCGUUUGAUCGAAACCCCGAUGAGAGAAGGUCCAGCAGGCUGAGACGCAGCAUUCCCCCAUUAGAAAAAAAAUGAAACAAGCCACACCAAAGGGAGGGCCGGUCCCUUUCACAGCAUCUUUUCCAGUUGUCCAUGGAGCAAGUACCCUAACCGGGGAGACGCAGGCUUAGUUUUUGGCCUGCGCCCGCCGGUCUCC